GACGGACCAUCCAAACGUUAUUCGGAAUUACUGGGCUUAAAGGGUGCGUAGGCGGCGCGGAAAGUUCGGUGUGAAAUCCCUCGGCUUAACCGAGGAAUGGCGCUGAAUACUACCGUGCUCGAGGAAGACAGAGGUAAGCGGAACAGCGGGUGGAGCGGUGAAAUGCGUUGAUAUCCGCUGGAACACCGGUGGCGAAAGCGGCUUACUGGGUCUUUUCUGACGCUGAGGCACGAAAGCUAGGGUAGCGAACGGGAUUAGAUACCCCGGUAGUCCUAGCCGUAAACGAUGAGCACUUGACGGGAGACUCCUCCAUAGGUUUCCGGUCGUAGCGAAAGUGAUAAGUGCUCCGCCUGGGGAGUAUGGCCGCAAGGCUGAA
rnacentral:rRNA from 1 species